GCACGGCAAGCAGCGUGUGCCAAAACGUUCACACCGUUCAAACAGUCAGUUCGCAACAACGUUGUUUAAUAAAGGAGAGUAAUACUGUAUGUAAAGGGCAAGAAGAAAAACACGUUAUUUUUGUAAAUGUAACUAUUUUUUACAAGUGUUUUUAUUAGCUGUCGUGCUUCUUGUGUUUAAAACCCAAACCGAUGAGGCUGGAUCUAAAAAGCGAGAGCCUGCAGUCUUACGACGCGAGCACGUAUAGAACAAUGCUUGCAACAGGGGGAUCUGGUUCAUACUGGUUUGUGAACAGGUCAAACCGCAGCAUUCGAGAACAGAAACGGUGGAGAUUUAGGCCGUCGCGUUCGGUGCAAGCAAAGCAGACACGUGCACAGUGUGGAGGGGUGACAGUCAAAGAAGUGCAAAAGAAAUGCAUACGGGCCCGACUGCAGCACAAAGAAGGAACAUCAAGGCCGAAAACAGAAGCAGAAUCAAAAAUGUGAAAUACCUGGAGGACACAAAAAAAAAAAAAAAAGCCACGCUACGAAUCGAUGCGCUGACAUCUCAGGCAGCUCGAAGAAGAAGAAGAAGAAGAAGAAGAGAGCAGAGGAGCUGCAAACAGAACUCGACUCUGUCUUUCUCUUUCUGCUCACCAACGGCGAGCUUGUAAAAGUUUCAGCUGCAAGGAUUUGGGUCAGCCUCUAUUGGCCUGGUUUCAAAAGAGCACUGCCUGUUUCAGAAAGAAGGGAGAAAAGGGGACAAGUCUGCGAGGGGAGCGCUGGCUCUUUGUGCUCCCUCUCCUGUCACCCUCUUUCCCUCUCUCUCUCUCUCGCUCUCUCUCUCUUUCUCUCUCGCUCUUGGACUCUGGGCUGUGACCGCUCCCAGGACUUUUACUCUCUGCUCUAAGGGUAAUGCCACCUCGUGCCAGCUCAGCCGUUGAGGCAUCUGUUGGUCUGUAUAGGGAUCCACCACGACGGUCCGGAUCGCUCUGGGGAGGCUGGCCUCUAUCGCAGACACCCACAGAAUAGGAAAUGCAAGCUACAGCACUAUUUCCUAGAUACUUUGUCCUCCAUUUCAGAUGUGUGUCAAGCUCUCACGAGGCUCAGCGCCGCUUUGUGUUAAAGUUCACACAAGGUUCUGGCUGCUUUGUGGCUCGGGGAAUCUCAUCCGACCUUCCACGUUGCUUCCUUCUAACACACUUUGGAGCGAUCCAAAUGCGCUUUUCUCCCUCUCUUUCUCCAUGUUUUUUCCUUGCAACAUUUACCGAAAAAAGAAUAAUAACCCCUCAACGAUAUAGAACGUGCACAAAAGUAGGGUUUGUUUUAACCCUCCCUGGUGUUAUUCUCAUGUUACAAGGGUAAGCUCUCCCUCCUAUUUGACUGUAAGGCCUCUCUGUGCAGGUGUCACACGGAGGACACAGUGCCAGCAGCAGGCAGGAAGGAGGUCUGUGUGAAAUAAUACCUGUCAACACAUAUGUUUUUAUCCCCCCAGUGUGCCCAGAAGUUAAAUAAUGACCGGAGUGAUGACAGUACAAACAGAAAUCCUGCUACAGCAAGCAUAAUUUAAACUUUCUGAAAUGAGAGAGAGAGAGAGAGAGAGACAGUCUUUCCUCUCUGCUUCCUGUUGAAACCUUGAAAAAGGUUCGAGACUACUGUUGUCUGUACUUCAGAAACACACUGACCCUUCCCACAGACAUCUACACAAUCAGAAGGGUGUAAAGAUCACAUGACCUAUUGUAAGAUGAACACAAUUAUAAGAAACAACUGUUCAUUCUCAGAGGUCAUCAAAAUACAGCUCUCAGUAAACAUACUGUACAAGGUUACAAGUAACAUGCUAUGUGAAAACAUUACCUUCCAGCUGUUUGAUACGUUAUAUAUUAUAUGUACUUAGUCCAUGAAGGCCCAUAUAUCACAAAAGUCUGUGCAUUGACUCACAUGUCUGUGUGCAUCUGCAUCCAUGUUAGUGUACUUUUGAGGAUUGAGUUGCCUUUAAUAGUCUCUGUGGAUAAGCCUGCAAUGACUCCGGUUACCACUGGGACCAUCCAGCUGAGAGCCGGGUUGGACUGUCAGGGGUCUGCGGAGAUGUUGGCCCCGCCUGACCCGUCUUGCCACGUGGACGGACCCCCAUCUGGUUUACCGCGGUUUGUGAGUGUGACUUUUUUUUUAGCUGCGUCAUUCGUCAUUCAUAUCUAUUCAACCGACGUGUUUAUGAUCAAAUUGUGAACACAAAAUCGUUUUCCAAGAGCACAACGUUCGCCGAAGAUUUAGCCUUUCAAUUGCACCAGAUUGGAAAACUUUAAAAACCUACAAAAAAAAUUUAAAAAAAUAAAAACAUUGUCAGUUUGUUUCCAAUAUCGUGCAUCGUUGAGUAGUUCACUGGUCCUCCAAGGUUUCUCUCUUAUGGGUUAAUAAGGGCAAGUGAUGCACUGUGUACAGCCAUCAUACGAACAUAUUCCUGCUGACUCCACUCCCCAAAACCGGACUGGUACACUCCAAGAUGUCGUCCUUUUAUGCAGUUCUUUGGUUCCCCUAUUUUAGUUUGUCUG